rnacentral:lncRNA from 1 species
CAGAUACAGAAAAACAAAGAAAAAAAAAAAAGAGAAAAAAAGGCAACAUACAAUCAGCAAACAUAACCAAAAUACCAAAUUAUUUUUCUUCAAACGCACAUAGUGACAAACGCACUGGAAAAAAAAAAGAAAAAAACACACUAUACAUUCAUACCAAAAGACACUCGUAUGUAUAGAAAAAGAAAAUCGAAACAUCAAAACGCUUUUUAAUUCCUUCCAACCACACACUUAGAGGUUGAGUUCGAGGUUUGCUUUCGUGGUUUCAAGUUCGUGGCUCCUUAUUAGGAUUGUUUCCUUUUCGUAAAUUGAAUUUUCGCAAGAG